GAUGAAGAACGUAGCGAAAUGCCAUAAGUAAUGUGAAUUGCAGAAUUCAGUGAAUCAUCGAAUCUUUGAACGCACAUUGCGCCCCUUGGUAUUCCGAGGGGCAUGCCUGUUCGAGCGUCAUUAUAACCCCUCAAGCUCAGCUUGGUGUUGGGGCCUGCUGCACUGGCAGCCCUUAAAAUCAGUGGCGGCGCCAUCUGGCUCUAAGCGUAGUAAUUCUUCUCGCUAUGGAGUCCUGGUGGAUGCUUGCCAUCAACCCCCAAUUUUUCUAUGGUUGACCUCGGAUCAGGUAGGGAUACCCGCUGAACUUAAGCAUAUCAAUAAGCGGAGGA
rnacentral:misc_RNA from 1 species